GAUGAAGAACGCAGCGAAAUGCGAUACGUAGUGUGAAUUGCAGAAUUCCGUGAACCAUCAAAUCUUUGAGCGCAUAUUGCGCUCGAGGCUUCGGCCGAGAGCAUGUCUGCCUCAGCGUCGGUAUUACCCCUCGCUUCUCAACCCCUGGUUGAUGCCUGCCUGCCUUUGCAGUUGGCUAGAAGUGGAUCUGGCUUUCCCAAUUGCCUUUGGUAGUUGGGUCAGCUGAAGCACAGAGGCUUGAGCAAGGACCCUUAUUGGGCUUCAACUGGAUAGGUAGAACUGGUCUUAGGACCAACUACACGAAGUUGUUGCUUGUGGUCUUUGUCUGGAGGCCAGCAGGAAGCCUUUAUACCUUCGACCUGAGCUCAGGCAAGAUUACCCGCUGAACUUAAGCAUAUCAAUAAGCGGAGGA
rnacentral:misc_RNA from 1 species